ACAUUGGUGGUUCACUAGAAGAAUUCUCGCCUUUCACUCAGGAGACCUGGGUUUGAUUCUCAGCCAAUGUA
rnacentral:tRNA from 1 species